rnacentral:lncRNA from 1 species
UAGGCCAAUUUUAAGUGGGGCACAAAGCAAGAAAAGCCUCCACGGCAAGUCUAGGCUUUGAUGAAAAUUUUCCUUCCACGUGGACCUUAUGGUUGAGCAUACCAUAUAAGAUUGCUAGUUGGAAAAGCCUCCCGAGGUGCUGGGACUGCAGACGGAGUCUCGCUCACUCAGUGCUCAGUGUUGCCCAGGCUGGAGUGCAGUGGGGUGAUCUCGGCUCGCUACAACCUCCACCUCCCAGCCGCCUGCCUCGGCCUCCCAAAGUGCCGAGAUUGCAGCCUCUGCCCGGCCGCCACCCUGUCUGAGAGGUGAGGAGCGUCUCUGCCUGGCUGCCCAUCGUCUGGGAUGUGAGGAGCCCCUCUGCCCAGCCGCCCAGUCUGGGAAGUGAGGAGCCUCUCUGCCCGGCCGCCCAUCGUCUGGGAUGUGGGGAGCGCCUCUGCCCGGCUGCGACCCCGUCUGGGAACUGAGGAGCCUCUCUGCCCGGCUGCCACCCUGUCUGGGAGGUGAGGAGCGUCUCUGCCCGGCCGCCCCAUCUGAGAGCUCCUGCCUUGCUGCUGGGUGCUGGAGAGGCUAAAUGUAUGACUAAGGAGCAUCAAGUGACUACCAAACCCAAACUCCCCAUCAAGCACUGGUAUAUGUGUUGCUGAAGUGAACAUUUAUUUUUAUUCAAUGGGUUCUUCCUAGCCACUGUGCAAGCCCAGAAUAUGUGAGGUGGAAUUCACCAGAACCAUAGAAUUCCAGUUUUUCCGUCUCCAAAUAGCCGGGGUUGGAAGAUGGGUUCUCGCCCUGACACCGCAGAGCUCUGUCUCAUCUAUAGAACAAGAGUACAGCCGCCUCCGUUAUCUCCCGACUGCAGCUGCUCUUAACGGUUUCGCUCUUGUUGCCCAGGCUGGAGUGCAGUGGUGUGAACUCAGCUCACCGCAACCUCCGCCUCCCAGGUUCAAGCGAUUCUCCUGCCUCAGCCUCCCGAGGAGCUGGGAUUACAGGCAUGCGCCAUCAUGCCCAGCUAAUGUUUUGUAUGCACCUUUUCUUAACUAUUAUUGAAGGGGUGGCCUGCCCCUCCACACCUGUGGGUGUUCCUCGUUGGGUGGAACGAGAGACUGAGAAAAGAAAGAGACACAGCGACAAAGUAUAGAGAAAGAAAAGUGGGCCCAGGGGACUGGCGCUCAGCAUAAGGAGGACCCGCACCAGCACCAGUCUCUGAGUUCCCUCAGUAUUUAUUGAUCAUUAUCUCUACCAUCUCAGAGAGGGGGACGUGGCAGGACAAUAGGGUAAUAGUGGGGAGAGGGUCAGCAGGAAAACAUGUGAACAAAUGUCUGUGUCAUAAACAAGGUUAAGAAAAGGUGCUGUGCUUUUGACGUGCACAUACAUAAACAUCUCGGUGCAUUAAAAAGCAGUAUUGCCGCCAGCAUGUCUCACCUCCAGCCCUAAGGUGGUUUUCUCCUAUCUCAGUAAAUAGAACAUACAAUCGGGUUUUACACCAAAACAUUCCAUUGCCCAGGGAUAAGCAGAAGACAGAUGCCUUCCUCUUAUCUCAACUGCAAAGAGGCCUUCCUCUUUUACUAAUCCUCCUCAGCACAGACCCUUUGUGGGUGUCGGGCUGGGGGACAGUCAGGUCUUUCCCUUCCCACGAGGCCAUAUCUCAGGCUAUCACAUGGGGAGAAACCUUGGACAAUACCUGGCUUUCCUAGACAGAGGUCCCUGCGGCCUUCCGCAGUGUAUUGUGUCCCUGGGUACUUGAGAUUAGAGAGUGGUGAUGACCUUUAACAAGCAUGCUGCCUUCAAGCACUUGUUUAACAAAGCACAUCCUGCACAGCCCUAAAUCCAUUAAACCGUGAGUCAACACAGCACAUGUCUCUGUGAGCACAGGGUUGGGGGUAGGGUUACAGAUUAACAGCAUCUCAAGGCAGAAGAAUUUUUCUCAGCACAGACCAAAAUGGAGUCUCUUAUGUCUACUUCUUUCUACAUAGACACAGUAACAGUCUGAUCUCUUUUUCUUUUCCCCACAAUUAUAAGAGUAUACAAGGUGGUGAUGAAGAAACCUGGGAUUACGUGCUGUGAAAUGGGGAUAACAGCAAUUCUAACUUCAUAGUUUUCUCAUGGUAAUUAAAUGACACAAAAUCAUGUUAAGUUCCAAGAAAAAAAAAAAAAAAA